AAGAUUCUGUCCCCAAAAUUGAAGACACGGAUUAAACCAAUAACUCAGGGUAAUUCUUCAUCAUUUCAGCUUUGAGUUCCCACGUAGCCUCUUCGACAUUGUGGUUUCUCCAUAUUACCUUCAUAGAAGAUAUCACUUUAUCUAUGAGCACUUGUUCUUUCCUGUCGACUAUCUGGAUAGGAACCUCUUGCUAGGACAAGUCUUUCUCAAACUGCAAUGGUUCGUAC
rnacentral:lncRNA from 1 species